AAAAACAUGUCCUUUAGAGNUUUAAUUUAAGGUCUAGCCUGCCCACUGAUUUAAAUGGCCGCAGUAUUUUAACUGUGCAAAGGUAGCAUAAUCAUUAGUCUUUUAAUUGAAGGCUUGUAUGAAUGGUUGGACGAAAUAUUAACUGUUUCAUAAAAAUUUAUUUAGAAUUUUAUUUUUUAGUUAAAAAGCUAAAAUUUUUUUAAAAGACGAGAAGACCCUAUAGAUCUUUAUAAUUUAUUUAUUAUAGUUAUAUAGAUUAUUUAGAUUAUGAUUGUAUAAAUUAUUUUGUUGGGGUGACAUUAAAAUUUGAUUAACUUUUAAUAAGUUUUUACAUUAAUUUAUGANNUUGAUUGAUCCAUUAUUAAUGAUUAUAAAAUUAAGUUACCUUAGGGAUAACAGCGUAAUUUUUUUGAAGAGUUCAUAUCGAUAAAAAAGAUUGCGACCUCGAUGUUGGAUUAAGAUAUAAUUUUGGGUGCAGCAAUUCAGUAAUUAAGUCUGUUCGACUUUUAAUUUCUUACAUGA
rnacentral:rRNA from 1 species